ACUCACUGGAGCUCCCAUAUGCACUCAGCGGAGGAAAUCAGAUUUCAGCGGCACAGAUCUGGAAAAGGGAUACAAAUGUGGACGAAGGACAUGAGAUGAGCGCUCCUUCUAUAAGCGGUCGACAGUUCUUCUUACCCGCAGCAUUGUCCUUUGGAUGUUCUCCCCUUUAAAUCCUCUGAGUGUGUGAUUCCCCGGAGCAGAGGGGCAUCUGACUGAGUGUGACGAGCAGUUGUUGCAUCCCACCGGAUGGCGGAAACCGGUGUGUCACGACGCGUGCUAUACCUUCAUGUUGCAUCUCCUCUUCACUGAAUUACGCAGCAGCACUCUCUGUCGCCAGGCAACGGCCACAGUGCCAGACUGGCUGGGAGGGACUCCCGCAUCGUGGAUCUUAUUGGCCAUGGCGGCGGCAGUCGGUGUACACUCACAGAGCACUUCAUUAGGUACACCUGCACAAUGAAGCACCAGUCCAAGAAAACAGGCACAUGUUGAUUGUGCUUUGAAGCUCUUACAUGUAUUACAAAUAUGAUGCUUGAAUAGCCCAAGCUGCCAAUUUAGAGCAACAGAUGGACUUCUGGGGAGAUGAUGAUGAUGAGCAGGCCCCUGGCAUACAGUACUUUAUGCCAGCACUAUUCAACGGGUGGACCAUAUCUGGCCGGGAAAUUACAAUAUACCGGCCCCCAAAUUCAGUAAAAUUGGGUGUCAAACAUUUUUGCAGCAAAUUCCUAAAAACAUUAAAGUACUCCUGUUUUAUAGAAAAACUUGGAACACUUGGAUCCUAACAGGCAUUCCUCAAGGCACCCCUUUAAGUCAGCUCCAUUUUGGUAAUGUGAUUUAUGCUGUAGCUCCUUUACUGCAGAUGCAGUCAGUAUAGUCAUUUGUACAACUUCUUUAGUUAUACCAGUAGUGUUAUUCGGGGUUCCAUUUUGGGUCCUCUGUUUUUCAUCAUUUGGGCUAAUCAGCUGGUGGCCCCUGAGUUAAAAAAAAAACAAAAAACUUGUGAGAGGCUCACAUUUUGCAGCAGAUUCUUAAAAACACAAGAGUGCUGUCAUACAGAUAAUUUUUGUGUAGCUUUUUUGCAGAAGGUCCUUUAAACAGCAGAUAGCUCCUGUAACUCUGAGAAAAUAAAUAGCCCAAAAUGAAAUGUCUCCUGCAGAGGACGCUGGUUCUCCACAAUAUACAAAAUAAGACUGAUAGUGAAGGGAGAAAUGUGGCUGCCCGGUCACUAGCUUUCUGGAAAUGUGGUAUCCAAAACAAUUUAGUUGAAUAGGCCUGCUCUAUGUGUUUAGUGUCACAAAGCAAAAUGUUUGUCCCUUAAUUACUUGAAAUGUUUACCAAGUGAAAAUCGAUUUGACACGAAUAUGAACAUGAGUAUUAAUUACAGCCCCUCUAUUACAGACAUUGUUCAAAUCAAGAUAUUUGUCACUGUAAAUGGCAGCAAAUUUUGUUCAUGAGAAAAAUGCAGUUCUGUCACUUUUGUGCCUUUAUUUUGAAGAGCCCACUCUAUUAUGUUACUUCCUUUAUUACUGACGCUUAACUUCCUGCUCCCGUCGCAUGCUCACUUUACUCCAGAACUGGUAAAACAUGCUGACAAAGAUUUAUUUGUCAUAUUCUGUGUGAGGGGUUAUUUUAUUGUGCCUCGUGUUUGUGUUGCUUAUAUGUCACAUUUAAAGAGAGUCACUACGAGCAGUGUGUGGAAGAUAGGCUAACAAGCUGAGCAAAUUUAGCGCCCUUGGAAGCGGAAAGAGGUAGGAGGAGACUAAUGGUUUAUUUCUUGUAAAACGAGUGGUUCAUUUCAUUUAAAACAAACGGGAAAAUUUCAUUAUUUUUAUUUAUUAAAGUGUGUUCAUUUAUUCAUGUGAAAAUUCAUUAUUUAAGUUUACUAAAAAUAUUUGUUUAUAAGUUUAAAAAUGUAAACAUGAUUUAUGCAUUGUUUGUGGAAAUAUGGUACGAUGGUAUUUGUAUUUUCUGUCCAUCUUCAUAGUUUUCACGGUGUCAAAAAUGUGAGGAGAGAAUUAAAGUUGCACCAGUCGAA